UCACCAUCACCUGCUGGAGACUCGCUGCAAUGGUCAGUGAAGAAGAGGAGGUACGCACCCUGGAGUCCACUCUGGACCGCGCUUGGAGGCCUCAGGGUGUAACACUGGGGCACUCAAGUUUCCUGUGUACUUGGGAGUGUUAAUUCCACACGUAAAGGACUUCAUCGAGUACUGUGGCUCUGACUAUACCCCAAGUGAGGUGCUAAGGAUGGAGCUGGCUAUUUUGGACAAACUGCACUGGGAUCUCUGUAUUGGGACGCCGCUGGACUUCUUGAACAUCGUGAGUACAGGGAGUUUGCAGAGUUUACCCUAGACUCCUCUGUGCCUUUGGAACAGCUCACAACAAAGGACGGCCAAGCACAUGCGUGCACACGUCCUUGCACAUGCACCACAAAAAGGUGACCCACAAGGCUCAUGACA